UUUGGUGGCGAUAGCGGAGGGGUUCCACACGUACCCAUCCCGAACACGACCGUUAAGCCCUCCAGCGCCGAUGGUACUUGGACCGAAGGG
rnacentral:rRNA from 1 species